AAAAUAGUUAGUUGAAACAAAUUUGUGUCAGCUGUAGAGAUAUCUACGUUCCGAAACCAAUGGCUAAUACUACUCCCAAUAUUACAAACUCCGUUGGUAUCGGAAUCCGAAUCCGGACCAAAAUCCGACCCGCAUCCACUUCCAUGGCGGCUACUCCGGCGGCUUUAUCGACCGGUCACUGCAUUCCGACCGGUUUGCUCGUUAUCAACUCCGGUACGAGUCGACGGGGAGGAGCUGCUCGAGUUGACUCAGUUAAUGGUCACUUGACUCGCAGCCGUGCGUCCUCGUUUUCGAUUCGAGCUGCGGCGGAGGUGGAACCGGUCGGAACUAGUUCUUCAGCUCAGGGUAUUGAAAACUUGGUAAUAAUAGGAUCAGGUCCUGCUGGAUAUACAGCAGCAAUUUAUGCAGCUCGGGCUAAUUUGAAGCCUGU
rnacentral:misc_RNA from 1 species